rnacentral:rRNA from 1 species
GAUGAACGCUGGCGGCGUGCCUAAUACAUGCAAGUCGAGCGAACAGACGAGGAGCUUGCUCCUCUGACGUUAGCGGCGGACGGGUGAGUAACACGUGGAUAACCUACCUAUAAGACUGGGAUAACUUCGGGAAACCGGAGCUAAUACCGGAUAAUAUAUUGAACCGCAUGGUUCAAUAGUGAAAGACGGUUUUGCUGUCACUUAUAGAUGGAUCCGCGCCGCAUUAGCUAGUUGGUAAGGUAACGGCUUACCAAGGCGACGAUGCGUAGCCGACCUGAGAGGGUGAUCGGCCACACUGGAACUGAGACACGGUCCAGACUCCUACGGGAGGCAGCAGUAGGGAAUCUUCUGCAAUGGGCGAAAGCCUGACGGAGCAACGCCGCGUGAGUGAUGAAGGUCUUCGGAUCGUAAACCUCUGUUAUUAGGGAAGAACAAAUGUGUAAGUAACUAUGCACGUCUUGACGGUACCUAAUCAGAAAGCCACGGCUAACUACGUG